ensembl:lncRNA
CAGCUAGCUCAUCAGGCUAAGUCCUCUGCUAGCUUAUCAGCUAGCUCAGCAGCCAAGUCCUCUGCUAGCUGAUCAGCUAGCUCAUCAGGCUAAUCCUCUGCUAGCUUAUCAGCUAGCUCAGCAGCCAAGUCCUCUGCUAGCUCAUCAGCUAGCUCAGCAGCCAAAUCCUCUGCUAGCUCAUCAGCUAGCUCAUCAGCCGAGUCCUCUGCUAGCUCAUCAGCUAGCUCAUCAGCCAAGUCCUCUGCUAGCUUAUCAGCUAGCUCAGCAGCCAAGUCCUCUGCUAGCUUAUCAGCUAGCUCAGCAGCCAAGUCCUCUGCUAGCUUAUCAGCUAGCUCAGCAGCCAAGUCCUCUGCUAGCUCAUCAGCUAGCUCAGCA